rnacentral:rRNA from 1 species
UACGUAGGUGGCGAGCGUUGUCCGGAUUUACUGGGCGUAAAGAGCGCGCAGGCGGUCGUACAAGUCGCGUGUGAAAGCCCCUGGCUCAACUGGGGAGGGUCACGCGAUACUGUUCGACUUGAAGGCAGGAGAGGGAAGUGGAAUUCCCGGUGUAGUGGUGAAAUGCGUAGAUAUCGGGAGGAACACCAAUGGCGAAGGCAGCUCGCUGGGACGGUACUGACGCUGAGACGCGAAAGCGUGGGGAGCAAACAGG